rnacentral:SRP_RNA from 1 species
UAUCGGGAUCGAAAGUGAACCCGUGAACCUGGUCAGAUCCGCAAGGAAGCAGCCACAGCGGGAACAUUGUGUGCCGGGGCGU